UUACUUGGGCUGAGCAUUGUGUUCGUCGUCGAGGCAUCGUGGUGUUCUGGCGUGUUCUCCCUGGGAAAUUAAACUAUAGAUUCGUUCAUGCGGCUUAGAAUCCUGGCGAGAAAUCUUUCUGAUUCGUUUGUCUCCUAUAUCUUAUUCUCGAAAUUUUAAUUUUGCUUUCUUCCUUCUUCCAUCUACUGCUGUUUACUACUUUCAUAUUUGUUUGGUCUCUUUAAAAGUGUGUGUUAUUUACUUGUAUAAUUUUACCUACCUCAACCGCAUGUCUUUCCUGCCUUGGCUUUCCCUUGGAACCCCACCCUCCCUCGCGCGCUUCUCUUAGAGAUUGGGAGACCAUUAAAUCCAACGAUUCCUUGCUUGGACUCAUGUGCAGACAGUUGGAAUGGCAGUGGCGAGGGAUGCGAAGGAAGGAGAGGAAUCCGAUGGUCUGAGAGGCGUUCUACUUUUUCGAGGAAUAGAUCCUCCAAGACACAAAAAGCGCCAUAGAAGAAAACGGAGGCGAUGCCAAAGUUGUUCUGAUUUAGGGUUUAUCUUCUCGCACAAUCCAAAGUUGCGCUCACCACCACUGGUUUAAAUUCUACACCUUCUCGAAAAGCCCUUGAAGCAUUGGCGACGUCUUCGUCGUGGUCUCUCUUGCUCACACUAGAGUCACUCUUUGUUCUCUAUCGCUCGUACCGCGUUGUGUGUCAAAAGGGAUUGGAUUUGGUCGUUGACUUCUGAACGCGGUGAGAAAUCGAAGGUUGGAGUGAGUUUUGAUUAAUGUCGGUUUUUGUUUGUUGUUAUAUUGACCCAACUUUGCUCUUUGUUCUUUAAAGUUUAAAAUUUGCAAUUUCAGAAACCCUAGGUUGGUUUGUUCGAAUCAGUUCGAGGUCCAAUCGCCCUCUGCACCAGUGCCCCUUUGGACUCGUGACAUUGAGGAGGAGAUAGUUCCUCUCUGCAGGUAAGUUCAACUUCUUCUCCAGUUCUGGAAUUUACACACCAGCUAAUUACAUGAAAAGUGAUAAAAAAAAUGUAUUUGAUACAGAGAGCUUUAUUUAUUUGUGUUCCUCUAAAAAUCAGGUUUUGUGCUUCGCCCUGGAUAACAACUCUUUAAAUAUUUUGACAAUAGAUCUUUGCAUCCAGAAGUGGUUUGGCCUGAUCAAAGCACAACUUGUUGAAAGUAGUGCAGAAGAUUGUUGAGAAGGUGAAGAAGCCAAGGAUUUGAGUAGAGAAAGUGAAAUAUUGGAGGAAAGGGAGGUUGCUAAAAAGCUUGCCAAGAUAAAA